UACGUAGGCAGCGAGCGUUGUUCGGAAUACUGGGCGUAAAGAGUGUGUAGGCGGUGCUCUAAGUUCGGUGUGAAUCUCCCGCUUAACUGGGAGGUGCGCCGGAAACUGGAGUGCUCGAGCGUGGAGAGGAAGCGGAAUCCUCGGUGUAGCGGUGAAUGCGUAGAUAUCAGGAGGAACACCUGCGGUGUAGACGGCUUCCUGGACCAUUGCUGACGCUGAGACACGAAGCGUGGUAGCAACAGG
rnacentral:rRNA from 1 species